rnacentral:rRNA from 1 species
UACGGAGGGGGCUAGCGUUGUUCGGAAUUACUGGGCGUAAAGCGCACGUAGGCGGUCUUGUAAGUUAGAGGUGAAAGCCCGGAGCUCAACUCCGGAACUGCCUUUAAGACUGCAUCGCUUGAACGUUGGAGAGGUAAGUGGAAUUCCGAGUGUAGAGGUGAAAUUCGUAGAUAUUCGGAAGAACACCAGUGGCGAAGGCGACUUACUGGACAACUGUUGACGCUGAGGUGCGAAGGCGUGGGGAGCAAACAGG